UACGUAGGGUGCGAGCGUUGUCCGGAAUUACUGGGCGUAAAGAGCUCGUAGGUGGUUUGUCGCGUUGUCCGUGAAAACUCACAACUCAAUUGUGGGCGUGCGGGCGAUACGGGCAGACUGGAGUACUGCAGGGGAGACUGGAAUUCCUGGUGUAGCGGUGGAAUGCGCAGAUAUCAGGAGGAACACCGGUGGCGAAGGCGGGUCUCUGGGUAGUAACUGACGCUGAGGAGCGAAAGCGUGGGGAGCGAACAGG
rnacentral:rRNA from 1 species